AAGUCGUAACAAGGUUUCCGUAGGUGAACCUGCGGAAGGAUCAUUAACACGUAUGUGAACCUUCAGUCGUACUCGUACGUCCGUUAGAAAAAGCAGCAAUCCCUGGUAAAUCAUCGCCGAACAGUUUUCGAUUCAGGGACGUCUGCAAGGAGCGUGCAUGUUGUGCGUGUAAGUGGCCUAGCAUCCCCAAGCAGUUAGUGUCUGAAAGUGUCACUAACGUUAGUGUCUGAAAGUGUCACUAACAUGUGUAAGGAUGACGCAGUCACGAUCGUUGGAGGCCCACACGGCCGACGACCGGGUCACUGGGUGCAAGCCCCCUUAUCACACCCCUGCUCUAUCUAUGGUGAUCCUGCGGGAAGUCCUGCGGUCGAACGCCGAAACCGAACAACUGUUAACAAUGGAUAUCUUGGUUCUC
rnacentral:misc_RNA from 1 species